rnacentral:rRNA from 1 species
AUUGAACGCUGGCGGCAGGCUUAACCCAUGCAAGUCGAGCGAGCGGCGGACGGGUGAGUAAUGUCUGGGAAACUGCCUGAUGGAGGGGGAUAACUACUGGAAACGGUAGCUAAUACCGCAUACCAUCAGAUGUGCCCAGAUGGGAUUAGCUAGGAGGUGGGGUAUUUGCUCACAUAGGCGACGAUCCCUACCGGGUCUGAGAGGAUGAUCACCCACCCUGGAACUGAGACACGGUCCAGCCUCUUACGCGAGGCCGCAGUUGGGAAUAUUGCACAAUGGGCGCAAGCCUGAUGCAGCCAUGCCGCGUGUGUGAAGAAGGCCUUCGGGUUGUAAAGAACUUUCAGCGAGUAGGCGUUACUCGCAGAAGAAGCACCGGCUAACUCCGUGCGAGCAGCCGCGGUAAUUC